rnacentral:rRNA from 1 species
ACUCCUACGGGAGGCAGCAGUGGGGAAUCUUGCGCAAUGGGCGAAAGCCUGACGCAGCAACGCCGCGUGCGGGAUGACGGCCUUCGUGGUUGUAAACCGCUUUCAGCAGGGACGAAAAUGACGGUACCUGCAGAAGAAGUCCCGGCUAACUCCGUGCCAGCAGCCGCGGUAAUACGGAGGGUGCGAGCGUUAAUCGGAAUUACUGGGCGUAAAGCGCAUGCAGGCGGCCUGUUAAGUCAGAUGUGAAAGCCCGGGCUUAACCUCGGAAUUGCAUUUGAAACUGGCAGGCUAGAGUCUUGUAGAGGGGGGUAGAAUUUCAGGUGUAGCGGGUGAAAUGCGUAGAGAUCUGAAAGGAAUACCAGUGGCG